rnacentral:lncRNA from 1 species
GAGGCUAUGUGACUUCCUUUCCUUCCCAGAUGCUGGACAGGGCUGACAUCCACUCACAAGGCUUCCUUUCUGCCUGGGGCUCCAAGAUGUGGACUUCCUCUCCAUUCUAACGAACAGCCUCAAGAAUCAAGCAGGAAAAACAUGCAAGACCUCACAGGCGACACAGAGACCAAACGCAAGCUGGCGCUCCCCACCCCCGCCUUCUGUAGCUGCUGAAAUGACCUCUUGAAUGCCAAAGACUCCAUCUUGCAAUAACUCCUGUUCCUGGCCAAGGGUUUUCAAAUUCAUCUCUCCUGCUCAAAUGGAGGAAGCUUCCUUCCCUGGCACGUAGCCAAAGAUCCUGGCCGUGCCAGGCAGGGUUCUUCCACGGGGCCCCGGCACAUUUGCUAGAGGUCCCAAGUGGGUCCUGGGGUCUUGUCUGCUUCUCCCCUCCCGUCCUGUGUGUGGGUGCUGCCACCAAUUCCCGAGACCUCUCCUGCGUGCUUCGCAGGAUUUCUGGUCUCGGGUGUUAGUACAGCCGGGGGUCCCCUCCUGCUGCCAGGAUACCCGGCUUGAAGAGCAGACACAUUUCAGACAAGUGCACAGACUGGGUUUUUGUAAAUGGAUUUGUGCUUCCCCCGUGCAAUCCUGAUAUUUUCGGGAUGCAGUCUGUCAUCGGCAACAUAUUUCUUUUGUUCCUCCCUCCCAUUUUCCAAGCCGCGUGCUUAUAAAAACCACAGAGAAUGGCGGCAAGCUUGUGUAACCCCUGCCAUAGCACAGAGGAAACCGAACCCAGAGCCCAGACUGGGGUCUUGCCCAAAGCCACAGCCAACAGCCGCCGCUUCUUCCUCACAGGUGCAGUGUCAGGGGGCGCAGAGGUGUAAACGCAGGGAGGGGAGAGGCCCUGCAAGCUGAUGCCCAGUUGCUCCGAAGCGGGAGCUGGUCCCUCCGCCUGGGGGUGGCCGGGAUGCUAGAUGAGCUCCCGGCUGCGCAGCCUGCAUGCAGACUUGGGCUCGGGGCUCAGUCUCUCACUUCCCAGCUGUGCGACCUUGGACAAGUCCCUCAACCCCCCUGGGCCUCCGGCUCAUCAUGGGUAAAAUGGAGCAAAUAAUUUCCACCCCUCUGACCUCAGGAGGAACCCGGGGCGAGGCUGGGAAUGAAAUGGCUUUGCAAGGCGCCAGGAGCGACAGCGCUUUGCUCAGUACCAGGCAGAGCUGCAGGGCAUUCAGCACAGGGUGCAGGCCCGGCCCUACCUGUUCCAGCAGGCCAUGCAGGCCAAUGCCCGGCUCACGGUGA